rnacentral:tRNA from 1 species
CACGAUGAUUAUCGUGAUGAGUGUCCACACAGAUUGAUUCGGUUUAGAUUUGAGCAUCAAGUGGGUCUGUAGCUCAGGUGGUUAGAGCGUACGCCUGAUAAGCGUAAGGUCGGUGGUUCGAGUCCACUCAGACCCACCACUAACGAUGGGGUUAUAGCUCAACUGGGAGAGCGCCUGCCUUGCACGCAGGAGGUCUGCGGUUCGAUCCCGCAUAACUCCACCAUCUUUAAGCGUUUUCGCUGAGAAUGUUUAAAAAUGGUUUUCAUCAAAAAAUCUUGCUCUUUAACAAUUUGGAAAGCUGACAAAACAACAAUUUAUUGUUGUUUGUAAAGUUCUCAAUGUUUAUCGAAAGAUAAACACCCCCACACAUUCCAGUGUGCUUGGUAUCGAAAAAACUUCCGUCUUGUUCAAUUUGAGUCCCGCAAAAUCUGUCUCGCACUCAUGUAAAUUAAACGCGAGACAACUUAGGUUGUUUAAACAACAACCCGAAACUCCUUCGGGUUGUAU